rnacentral:piRNA from 1 species
UAGCUCAAUGGACUCCAAGCCUGUAUGCUC